ensembl:snoRNA LOC120101335 small nucleolar RNA SNORA17
CCUGUCCUUUUCAGUAUUGAAGAUGUGGCUGCUCUAUCAUAUGUGUGUGUGAGUUGGUGGCAGAGAUGAGAGUAGCAAUGUUUCUGGUCAGUGUUCUGAGCUAUGAAGAUCUGAAUGGUUAUUAGCCUAAUAUU